rnacentral:rRNA from 1 species
UACGAAGGGGGCUAGCGUUGUUCGGAAUACUGGGCGUAAGGCGCGCGCAGGCGGUUCUCCAAGUCAGUGGUGAAAGCCCGGAGCUCAACUCCGGAACUGCCAUUGAAACUGUUGAACUUGAGGACGAGAGAGGUGAGUGGAAUUCCCAGUGUAGAGGUGAAAUUCGUAGAUAUUGGGAAGAACACCGGUGGCGAAGGCGGCUCACUGGCUCGUAUCUGACGCUCAGGCGCGAUAGCGUGGGGGAUCAAACAGG